AGUGAACGCUGGCGGUAGGCCUAACACAUGCAAGUCGAACGGCAGCACAGUAAGAGCUUGCUCUUACGGGUGGCGAGUGGCGGACGGGUGAGGAAUACAUCGGAAUCUACUUUUUCGUGGGGGAUAACGUAGGGAAACUUACGCUAAUACCGCAUACGACCUACGGGUGAAAUCAGGGGAUCUUCGGACCUUGCGCGAUUGAAUGAGCCGAUGUCGGAUUAGCUAGUUGGCGGGGUAAAGGCCCACCAAGGCGACGAUCCGUAGCUGGUCUGAGAGGAUGAUCAGCCACACUGGAACUGAGACACGGUCCAGACUCCUACGGGAGGCAGCAGUGGGGAAUAUUGGACAAUGGGCGCAGGCCUGAUCCAGCCAUACCGCGUGGGUGAAGAAGGCCUUCGGGUUGUAAAGCCCUUUUGUUGGGAAAGAAAAGCAGCAGGUUAAUACCCCGCUGUUCUGACGGUACCCAAAGAAUAAGCACCGGCUAACUUCGUG
rnacentral:rRNA from 1 species